rnacentral:lncRNA from 1 species
GGUCAGCUUUUUUCAGCCCUGGUGACCAAGUCUGGAUGCAGCUUUGCUGAUGAUGGGGAAUGACUCAGCGGCAUGAGACUUCCCUCAGCCACGUGUCAGGGAGUAGGUCUUUGCUUGUAGAUCAAAAAUUUUUGAGGAAAAAAUAAAAGGAUCUGGCAUUUUCCCACUCACCCACCCAUCUUGGAUUGCAUUCAGACAUGCUGUGUUCAUGACAAUAUUUUGGCUUUGACAAAUGGGAAACUUUUGGAUGUCAUUGUGGAAUAUAGUUCUUAGCAUCCAGAGCAGCCUUUAUGUGCCAGUGCUCUAGAGCAAUGGAGGAGACUCUGUCCCACCAAGUGGAUGAUGAACCUGUGUGAGCUGCCCUGGCUGAGCUGUUAUCACCUGCAUGUGUGUCUUUAUACUCCAUGGUCCAGUGACCCCAGCUCAAAUCCCAAGCCAUACAACCAUGCAUGGUGUGGCUCAUGAAUCCUCUUGGCCGUGGAGCUCAGAGCCCAUGAAGGUGAGAAGUGAGGCUGGAGCCCCAGGGGUAACCUCUCCUCAUGAGGUGGUACCUACCAUCAGCAGGUGGACAAAGUUGUGCAUCAACCUAGGAGCUGUGUCAUGGUGUAAUGCUUUGGCAUGGUGAAGGACAGCAUCAAAAGCUGUCAGCAACCAGGAAGGGGAGAAAGAAAAGGUGACAUCUUCCUGAAACGGAGUGUGUUGCAACUGCCUGCAGAGCUGGCUUACAGAGUGAUGGGGUGUGUGUGUGGGAAGAGAAUCAAACUACCAGAAAUACUAAAAUUGACUGGCUGGCAGGCUAAAACUUCAGCAGAGGCUGUGAUUAUACUUGUCACUAUCUGUUAACCUUCAAAACAGGUGCUGAGCAUUUGAAGUGCCAACACGGUGCUCAGGCUGCAAUCUGUGUAUGUGGAGAAAGUAGUAACACAAACACAGGCAGGGGGAAGGGGCUGGGGGCAUGCCAAGUGGGCACAUGGGCUAAAAGGGGAUGGCCCUGGGCAGUCAGCAUGGAAAUGCAAGUGGACUUGGCUGGCUGGGAAAAAGCAGAGAACCUCCCAGAGGAGCUGGGAUGGAGCAGGAAACGUCUUCAGCUGAUGGCAAACAGUGCUGCAAGGAGGACCCUGGGGAAGGGGCUCUACUUCACUAGGGUGAUUUGGCUGCUGAAGAUUUCAGGCUAGCUUUAUAAAAGCGCUCAGUUUACUGCAGUUCAGCUGGAGGAACCUUGACUCCUGCCAAGAUCCUCAAUUUUGACUGGCUGUUUGCACUCUCGGUCUAGCUCAGUGUCUUUCUUUAAUAUAUUUCAGCUUGGUAGCUUCUUUUGAAAGUCACAGAAGUGCUGAACUUUCAGUUUUAAUAAUUUUAUUUGGAAAAAAUGUCAGUAAGAAGACAAUAGCAAAGGGAAUAGAAAAAAUAAUUUUUAAAAACUUUCAUUUUUCUUACAGAGAGUAUUUACAUUACCAAACUUUGUGAUGACAAGCAUCUUGGGAUCUUGCAAGGCUGUAUUGUUAAGUAAGUCAACAAGUGGUGUAACGCUUGGCAUGGGGAGAAGGUGAGUGAGUGACGUUCAAGGGGAGGAGUGGGCAGGGCUCUGAGGAAUACCCAAGGAAUGUGAAAUAAAAGGCUUUGAAGAAAAAUGUCA